UACGUAGGCAGCAAGCGUUGUCCGGAAUUAUUGGGCGUAAAGCGCGCGCAGGCGGUCCUUUUAAGUCUGAUGUGAAAGCCCACGGCUCAACCGUGGAGGGUCAUUGGAAACUGGGGGACUUGAGUGCAGGAGAGAAGAGUGGAAUUCCACGUGUAGCGGUGAAAUGCGUAGAGAUGUGGAGGAACACCAGUGGCGAAGGCGACUCUUUGGCCUGUAACUGACGCUGAGGCGCGAAAGCGUGGGGAGCAAACAGG
rnacentral:rRNA from 1 species